rnacentral:rRNA from 1 species
AGUGAACGCUGGCGGCAGGCUUAACACAUGCCAGUCGAGCGGGCACCCAGGAAGUGUCAGCGGCAGACGGGUGAGUAACGCGUGGGAACGAGGCCUUCGGUUCGGUCUAACUCAGGGUAGGUUGAGAUAAUACCGGAUACGCGCUAAUGGGGCAAGGUAUACUGCCGAAGGAUCGGCGCGCGUCGGAUUAGCUCGUGAGUGAGGUUACGGCUCACGAAUGAGAUGAUCAGUAGCUGGUCUGAGAGGAUGAUCAGCGACACUGGGCCUGAGACACGGCACAGACUCCUACGGGAGGCAGCAGUGGCGAAUACUGGACUAUGGGGGCAACCCUGAAGCAGCCAUGCCGCGUGAGUGAUAACAGCCUGAGGGUUGUAAAGCUCUUUUCUCCGGGACGAUAAUGACGGUACCGGAAGAAUAAGCCCCGGCUAACUUCGUG